rnacentral:rRNA from 1 species
GUGGGGAAUAUUGGACAAUGGAGGAAACUCUGAUCCAGCAAUUCUGUGUGUGUGAAGAAGGUUUUAGGACUGUAAAACACUUUUAGUAGGGAAGAAAAAAAUGACGGUACCUACAGAAGAAGCAACGGCUAAAUACGUGCCAGCAGCCGCGGUAAUACGUAUGUUGCGAGCGUUAUCCGGAAUUAUUGGGCUUAAAGGGCAUCUAGGCGGUAAGACAAGUUGAAGGUGAAAACCUGUGGCUCAACCAUAGGCUUGCCUACAAAACUGUUGAACUAGAGUACUGGAAAGGUGGGUGGAACUACACGAGUAGAGGUGAAAUUCGUAGAUAUGUGUAGGAAUGCCGAUGAUGAAGAUAACUCACUGGACAGAAACUGACGCUGAAGUGCGAAAGCUAGGGGAGCAAACAGGA